rnacentral:misc_RNA from 1 species
UCAUGUCAUUCAGUCAUGCUGCCGCGUGAACUGUACAAAUCCACUCUGUGUACCUACCCUGUUGCUUCCGCUGGGCCCGGAGCAUUUUGGAGGAGUUGCCUCUCGCACGGUCAAUUUCUGUGCAGAGUUUGGCUGUUCCUCUGGGACUGCUCUGGAUUCACAUGCCUGGCGGGAGGAUUCCUUAAUCUCUGGGUUUACUAUUCCAUCUGUCUGAUCUAUGAACCAAAAAAAAAUGUUUA